AUGCGUGCCUUAUUCUGGAACAUCCGCGGCUUUGGCCAUGAUGGCCGACGCCGCCAACUCAUCGAGUACGUACGCGAUGAGCAUAUUGACAUAGUGGCGAUCCAGGAAACCAUGCGCUCUGACUUCUCAUUGCCGGAGCUUGACCGGCUGAGCUCCCACCUCUUCGCGUGGCACUGGCUCCCUUCUAGUGGGAACACCGGCCAUUCGGGUGGCAUCCUUCUGGGUGUGAAGGAUGCCACCUUCGAGGUGGGAAGUAUGGACCGGGGCCAGUUCUUUGUUAGUAUGGAGCUCUAUGAACGGGCCCUGAACUUUAAAUGGGAGGUUAUCAUCGUCUAUGGCCCGGCGGACCACAGUAGAUCCGCAUCCUUCCUCGAUGAGCUUAAUCGGAAGGUCUCGGCGGCCUCCCUGCCGGUGGUUGUCGGAGGCGAUUUUAACCUCCUCCGAUUCGCGGAAGACAAGAGCAAUGAUCAUGUUAACUAUGCACAUAUGCAGAUGUUUAAUGACUGCAUUGCUGAUCUUGGUCUUCACGAAAUAGAUAGGGUUGGUGCUAGGUUCACCUGGACUAACCGGCAAGCCUCCCCGACCCAGUCCGUUCUGGACCGGGUCCUAGUCUCCCCGGAUUGGGACCUCCGUUGUCCUCUGGCCUCUCUUCGGGCCAUCACGCGGAUUGGCUCCAACCACGUCCCUCUUCUCUUGUCCUCCUCCGACGAGCGUCCUCCGAUCCCUCCCAGAUUCUAG
rnacentral:rRNA from 1 species